rnacentral:rRNA from 1 species
UACAGAGGGUGCGAGCGUUGUCCGGAAUUACUGGGCGUAAAGGGCGCGUAGGCGGCCUGGUAAGUCGGGGGUGAAAGUCAGCGGCUCAACCGCUGGACUGCCUUCGAGACUGUCGGGCUUGAGCAUGGUAGAGGCUGGCGGAAUUCCCGGUGUAGCGGUGGAAUGCGUAGAGAUCGGGAAGAACAUCGGUGGCGAAGGCGGCCAGCUGGGCCAUUGCUGACGCUGAGGCGCGACAGCGUGGGGAGCAAACAGG